rnacentral:rRNA from 1 species
AAACAUAGCCGGUAGCUAUUAUAUUAUUGGUGUGACCUGCCCGGUGAAUUUUUAACGGCCGCAGUACUAUGACUGUGCAAAGGUAGCAUAAUCAUUUGGCUUUUAAUUGGAGUCUAGCAUGAACGGAAAAACGUAUAUAAACUGUAUCUAGUUAUAAGUUUAUUUAAUUUAUUAAUAGGGUGAAAAUACCCUAAAUUAAAAAAAUAGACGAGAAGACCCUUAGAAUUUUAAGAAAAGCCAUAACCAUAUGGAAUGAUUUUUGUUGGGGCAACAUUUUUUCAUUUAAAUAAAAAAAUAAACAUUUAACUUAACGAAGAAAUUUAAUAAAGAAAAAAUUACCUUAGGGAUAACAGCAUAAUUUUAAGUAAAGAUUGUGACCUCGAUGUUGGACUAGGAACUAUUAAGGCUAGUCGUUUUAAUAUAAUAAGUUCUGUUCGAACUUUGUUUCCUA